GAUAACGUGGGCAACUGGCUGUAAAUCGGAAUAACUCCGGGAAAACGGAGCUAAUGCCGGGUAACCUGUUCUUUCGCAUGAAGGAACAUUAAAAGAUGGCUUCUUGCUAUCACUUACAGAUGGGCCCGCGGCGCAUUAUCUAGUUGGUGAGGUAACGGCUCACCSAGGCAACGAUGCGUAGCCGACCUGAGAGGGUGAUCGGCCACACUGGGACUGAGACACGGCCCAGACUCCUACGGGAGGCAGCASUAGGGAAUCUUCCGCAAUGGACGAAAGUCUGACGGAGCAACGCCGCGUGAACGAUGAAGGUCUUCGGAUCGUAAAGUUCUGUUGUUAGGGAAGAACAAGUACCGUGCGAAUAGAGCGGUACCUUGACGGUACCUAACGAGGAAGCCCCGGCUAACUACGUGCCAACAGCCGCGGUAAUACGUASGGGGCAAGCGUUGUCCGGAAWUAUUGGGCGUAAAGCGCGCGCAGGCGGUUCCUUAAGUCUGAUGUGAAAGGCCACGGCUCAACCGUGGAGGGCCAUUGGAAACUGGGGAACUUGAGGACAGAAGAGGAGAGUGGAAUUCCACGUGUAGCGGUGAAAUGCGUAGAUAUGUGGAGGAACACCAGUGGCGAAGGCGACUCUCUGGUCUGUUUCUGACGCUGAAGUGCGAAAGCGUGGGUAGCAAACAGGAUUAGAUACCCUGGUAGUCCACGCCGUAAACGAUGAGUGCUANGUGUUANGGGGCUUCCCCCCCUUAGUGCUGAAGUUAACGCAUUAAGCACUCCNCCUGGGGAGUACCGNCCCAANGCUGAAACUCAAAGGAAUUGACGGGGGCCCGCACAAACNGUGGAGCAUGUGGNUUAAUUCGAAGCAACGCGAANAACCUUCCAGGUCUUGACAUCUUUGGACCNCCUA
rnacentral:rRNA from 1 species